UCAGCUACAGGUGCACGUGUGGAUAUGCUCUUCUUAUGGGUCUGGUUGACUUCCUUGAGGGUUUUCACCACUUCCUCCACAAAGUUAUCACACAACUCUUGGACAUCAAACUGAAGCAAACGUCUCUUUGGAUCAGCUUCACCUUGGGACGACUUGAAAGGUUCAUUGCACCUCCUGUUUGGCAUAUCUUGCACACUAACAAACUCAUCAAAAUUAUUCAAAGAAU
rnacentral:lncRNA from 1 species